rnacentral:rRNA from 1 species
GAGUUUGAUCAUGGCUCAGAUUGAACGCUGGCGGCAUGCCUUACACAUGCAAGUCGAACGGCAGCACGGGAGCUUGCUCCUGGGUGGCGAGUGGCGAACGGGUGAGUAAUGCAUCGGAACGUAUCCUGGAGUGGGGGAUAACGUAGCGAAAGUUACGCUAAUACCGCAUAUUCUGUGAGCAGGAAAGCGGGGGACCUUCGGGCCUCGCGCUCUUGGAGCGGCCGAUGUCGGAUUAGCUAGUUGGUGAGGUAAAGGCGUCACCAAGGCGACGAUCCGUAGCAGGUCUGAGAGGAUGAUCUGCCACACUGGAACUGAGACACGGUCCAGGACUCCUACGGGAGGCAGCAGU